rnacentral:rRNA from 1 species
UACGUAGGGUGCGAGCGUUAAUCGGAAUUACUGGGCGUAAAGCGUGCGCAGGCGGUUUUGUAAGUCAGAUGUGAAAUCCCCGGGCUUAACCUGGGAAAUGCGUUUGAAACUACAAGGCUAGAGUGUAGCAGAGGGGGGUGGAAUUCCACGUGUAGCAGUGAAAUGCGUAGAGAUGUGGAGGAACACCGAUGGCGAAGGCAGCCCCCUGGGUUAACACUGACGCUCAGGCACGAAAGCGUGGGGAGCAAACAGG